UACAGAGGUGGCAAGCGUUGUUCGGAAUUACUGGGCGUAAAGGGCGCGUAGGCGGUUCGUUAAGUCCUGUGUGAAAUCCCCCGGCUCAACUGGGGAACUGCACAGGAAACUGGCGGGCUUGAGUUCGGGAGAGGGAAGCGGAAUUCCGGGUGUAGCGGUGAAAUGCGUAGAUAUCCGGAGGAACACCGGUGGCGAAGGCGGCUUCCUGGACCGACACUGACGCUGAGGCGCG
rnacentral:rRNA from 1 species